rnacentral:tRNA from 1 species
UGUAGCCUGGCGGUGCAGUCGUUAACGCACUUGGUUGUUAACCAAAAGGUCGGUGGUUCAAAUCCACCAGCCACAC